GGCAUCAAGGUGCUGCGUUGUCACCGGAGCUGCUGUUGCUCCGUUUGCUCGAUUAUUCGAUUGAGUUAAGGCUGUGUUUAGAGGCUGUGGCUGCUGCGGGGACGGUCGAUAUUGAUGCUGUUGCUGUGGAAUAAGAAUAGAAAUGCAGUUUUCCGCGUAGUUGAAUCACGAACGAGCUUUACCCUUUUCAGGAACCGGAUGAAGAAGCAUUAAGAAGAGAGUUAUAUUGCGUUUGGUUUAUAUGCUGUUGUAUUAUUUAGAUUAUUUUCUUCCCUCGUCUUUAUUAUUACAAGUUUGUAAGAGGGAUAGGAAUUGUAUGUUUUAUAUGUAUAAUAUAUUGAAUUAUUAUGUAAGGAGUUUUGUAUA